AGCCUCGAUUUAGAUUCAUGGGGGUAGAGCACUGAAUGGGCUAGGGGGCCACAAAGCUUACCGAACCCUAUCAAACUUCGAAUACCGGAUAAUUGAUGAACGGGAGUCAGACGGCGGGAGAUAAGUUUCGUCGUCAAAAGGGAAACAGCCCAGAUCUACGACUAAGGUCCCGAAAUCACAGUUAAGUGGAAAAGGAUGUGCAGUUGCACAGACAACCAGGAUGUUGGCUUAGAAGCAGCCACUCAUUUAAAGAGUGCGUAAUAGCUCACUGGUCGAGUGAUUGUGCGCCGAAAAUGUACCGGGGCUAAACUGUGUACCGAAGUCUAGGGAUCGUGAUAAACGAUCGGUAGGGGAGCAACGUGUGCGGGCUGAAGCCGAAGCGAAAGCGACGGUGGACUGCACGGGAGAGAGAAUGCCGGCAUGAGUAGCGAGAGCAAAGUGAGAAUCUUUGCCGUCGAAAGCCUAAGGUUUCCUGAGGAAGGCUCGUCCUCUCAGGGUAAGUCAGGACCUAAGCCGAGGACAAAAGUCGUAGGCGAUGGACAACUGGUUGAUAUUCCAGUACCACCUUUAGCGUUUGACUGAAGCAGUGACACAGAAGGAUAGACAGAGCGCGUGACUGGUAGAGCGCGUCCAAGCGAUGAGGGAGUUAAGUAGUGAAGCACGCUUAACAAUCCUGGGUCGUGAUGGGGACUGAAAAUAAGUAGGGAAGCUGUUGAAUUCACGCUGGCGAGAAAAGCUGCUAAGGAGCGAAAGGGUGCCUGUACCGCAAACCGACACAGGUAGGCGAGGAGAGAAUCCUAAGACGAGCGGGAGAACCCAUGUUAAGGAACUCGGCAAAAUGACCCUGUAACUUCGGGAUAAAGGGAGCCACGAGAGUGGCCGCAGAGAAUAGGCCCAAGCGACUGUUUACCAAAAACACAGGUCUGUGCGAAGUAGAGAUACGACGUAUACGGGCUGACGCCUGCCCAGUGCCGGAAGGUUAAGGGGAAGUGUUAGGGCAACCGAAGCACGGAACUUAAGCCCCGGUGAACGGCGGCCGUAACUAUAACGGUCCUAAGGUAGCGAAAUUCCUUGUCGGGUAAG
rnacentral:rRNA from 1 species